rnacentral:rRNA from 1 species
UGUGUCACUAUUGUACCCUGAAUACACUCGGUGUCAUUGGUUUGCAGAAGCUAAGCAGCAUCCAACCAGGAUAGUAAUUGGAUGGGAGACCAGCAGGAAAUACCAGAUUGUGUUCUGGA